GAGCAGUCUCUAAGAAGCCUAGUGAGCAUGGGUGCCUGCAAGGGUCUUCAGGGAAUAGAACAGGUUGACUCCAAGUUUGUAUCUUUGCAGUUGAAAGGUGCUAUGUGAGCUCCACUUGUUGUUCCCAAAGACUACUUCUCGGAGCACUUCAAGGACUGGCCAUGUGCCCUGCCAUUUUAGCAGGACUGACCACAAGGAAUGUCCUUGGAGAUGAGAAGAAAAUCACUCCCAGAAAGAGAUAGGAGGAUGGAAUCCCAAGCCUUUAUCUCAGUGUUCAGAUGACCUCUCUUGACAAAUGCACAAGAUGCUACAACUGCGGCCACUAUCCUAGUUGGAAACACCAUUCGGACAGAAGUGAUCAGUGACCACAGCUGGUUCAGGAAUCACAGGAUCUUGCAAAGUUGUCUCCGAUUGACAUAAACUGGCUGGAUUCUCAC